rnacentral:rRNA from 1 species
UACAGAGGUCCCAAGCGUUGUUCGGAUUUACUGGGCGUAAAGGGUGCGUAGGCGGUCGGGUAAGUCUGGUGUGAAAUCUUCGAGCUUAACUCGGAAACUGCAUUGGAUACUAUUCGGCUAGAGAGUUGGAGGGGGGAUUGGAAUACUUGGUGUAGCAGUGAAAUGCGUAGAUAUCAAGUGGAACACCAGUGGCGAAGGCGAAUCCCUGGACAACUCCUGACACUGAGGCACGAAAGCUAGGGGAGCAAACAGG